AGNAAAAAAUAGAACAAAAAAACGCGCUAUUUUCGCGCCAUAAACUCACCUGACGACGCUUUCUCGACUCGAUCGUUUCGUUUACGAUUUGACUACUGCCUCCUGGAAUCCAAAUUGUGGGUACAGACCCUGGUUUUAAAACUCUUUUUGCUCCUGGUAUAUGGAUGGCUCUUUGAAAGCAAGAUGAAUCAAAAUGCCGCGAACAAAUAACAAACCGCCCUUCAGGUUUGAAGCCUUCUCGAUGGAACGCGAUAAAUCGCUUCCAUUUUGCAUCACCAGAUUUAUUAGUGGGCGAAUUAUGGAGAGAAAUGCCAUUUAUCGGAUCUGAGACACCACCACACUGUUGUACGACACACCUGCUAGCUGGCAUAGCGAUAUUUUUUCAUAGAAGGCUCAGUUUUAUUAUUUAGUCUCUACAAUUUCUGUAGCUAACAACACACAUUCAAAAAUCGCGGGAAACUUGUGUUGAUUGUAUGACGUCAAAUGACGUCGUAAUACUCAUUACCAAGCCCGCUCGGUCAAAGUCGUUCGGUUCAAAGCUGAGGCAACGAUAACAAUGGCGGACAUCUCAAAAAAUGGUUAUUUCACCGGGAUUUUCAAGGAAUUAUCAUGAAAAAAGUAAAUGCGCUUAAAGCGAACACCGCUGCAGGUAGUCUUGACUGAAUAACGACGCUGAAGUUGGUGUUACUACACUAGUUAAAAUCUUGGUUUUAUCUUUAUUGCUGUGGAAGUUCUCUCGUGUCUGGCUAUAAAUUAGGCUGCUUGUAUAUUAUGCUAAAUACCGUAAAUACUGUAAAAUUGUGAAACUGCAGCACAUUUUAGUAAACCGUUCUUUCAAUUCUUCAAUAAAAGAAAAUAUAAUCUCUUUUA